UACAGAGGGUGCGAGCGUUGUCCGGAAUCACUGGGCGUAAAGGGCGCGUAGGCGGCUUGGUAAGUAGGGGGUGAAAUCUCAAGGCUUAACCUUGAGGCUGCCUCCUAGACUGUCUGGCUCGAGCACAGUAGAGGCGAGUGGAAUUCCCGGUGUAGCGGUGGAAUGCGUAGAGAUCGGGAAGAACAUCGGUGGCGAAGGCGGCUCGCUGGGCUGUAGCUGACGCUGAUGCGCGAAAGCGUGGGGAGCAAACAGG
rnacentral:rRNA from 1 species